ACGUUGAAAUAGAAGUAAAAAAAUAAAGUAAUUUUUUUCUUUUAUUUCAGAGCAACGGUAAAUCGGUAAUACGUAAUAUGAAUCCAUGUGUCUGUGUUGCUCUGAAUUGUGAUACUGGUUGAAUAGUUGAAAUGCACUAAUGUAGCCUCUUAUAGUCUGAUCUGGUCUUCUUCACAUUUUAUUAGGUGGGGUGGCAUCAAGCUUCAUCAAUUGGCAACAUCGCUACCAUUUGCUUCGACUGUAGCAUGACUGUAGGCUGCGUCUUCCGAUUUAAAAUUCUUUAUUUGUUUAUUUAGACGGAUUAAAAAUUCACGUCGGUCGACCGACGGUCGUCAUAGAGUAGACCUAGGAUUGAGGCUUCCAAGUUCCAACUCAACGUAGUGUCAUGUGCUGAACUGCUGAAGUUUCAUCGUUUGGACAUUUAAAUGAUUUAAUGGUAGUAAGCAAUUGCCCAAUCUUAAUAUCUGCAAACGGGUGUACACGUGGUGGAGCAGUCAAGGAAAUGUUGAAAACACAACCGGAUUCUCUCUCCAGAAGUCCAGAACAAGACGUCAGGCAUAAAUGGUUUGGAUUGGAUUUCAAUUUCUGCAUGUUGAAAGGAUUUUGUGUCACAAGAAAAUUAAAUUCUGUUUUUUUCUACUUCAUUGGCACUGCUUACAUAAUCCAGUGGUAAAGAACAAGUGAACUUGGGCAUUCAGUGUCUGCCACGCCCCAACCUGAACUGCUGGAGGUACACAAAAUGUUUGAUGACUUAAAAAUCUUUUGACACUGCUGCUGACACAUGUGCCGCAUGAUUAUUGGCUAAUCGUUUGAUCUACAAACAUCCAACUGAAUAGGUAUUGAAGGAUAGUGUUUAAAAGGUGGGAAAUGGAUGGAAAAUUUUGUACGAUAAAAUGCUGCAUAUCAUUAUAACGAUGGCACAGGUAUGCUGUAUUUCUUCAAUGGCCCAAGUUUAAAUUCAAUUCUCUGGUUGUGAAAAUAGUGAGUGUUGGUGGCCCAACCUAAUUUGAAUAACAUUAAGCUUUUGAGUCGAAUCUAUAGAGUAACGUGAUGGCUCGCAGUCCUUUUAAAGAUGAUAAUUUAACUUGUAUUUUACAAUUGAUACAUUGAAAUCCUAAAACUUUUGACAGGAUAAAUUUGUGUCAUCCACUGCUUCGUGAAAAUGUGUUAGAGUGAAACACUGUUCAAUUGUUGACUUUGUUUCCGUUUUAAGUCAUUUGGUAUUAAUUUGAUAUUGUUUUUUGUAGACCCAUCCCCGGCAACGUCAACCUGCAGAAGGAAGAGCGAAGAGGCCAGUUUGCAUUUCCUUCACUUUCGAAGGU